CAACCCUCAGGCUCGACCUGGUGUUGGGGACCGGCUGUCUGACUGCCGGCCCUGAAAUACAGUGGCGGUCUCUUCGCGAGAUCCCCUGCGUAGUAGCACUACCUCGCAGAGGGACAGCGUCCUGGCCACGCCGUAAAACCCCCCACUUCUCAA
rnacentral:misc_RNA from 1 species